CCUGAAAUGCAAAGGCCAAUAAAUAAAACACUUCAAGAAAAACUAGUUGACUUCCAAAAUUUUUUAACUUCUUUAAAAUUAUUAUUUUAAAACUAAUAAUCAUUCACUUAAUGAUUCAAGUUUUCACACUACACAGUAAAUGUACAUGGAAGAACUAAAGGCCAUGGUGGCCCACGCCUUUAAGCAAGUCCAGGACAGCCAGGAUUACCAGAGAAACUGAUGACGAGCCCUUUGGGAUGCAAGCCGUCCGUACAAUGUCUUGAGGAGACUCUUUCUGACUUGUCUUCACUGGGCUAAGAAAGAAAGCCUUUUAACCUACUUCCUCCCUUAGUGUGCACACCAUACAUGUACUGGGUUUUCAGCCUCUCUGCAGAUUACACAGCCAGGAGUAGCUUGAUUGGAAUGUCGUUUGUAUUCUACAAUAGUUCUUAACUCAUCCCGCACGUAGCCUAGGUAGGCCUGAACUUCUGUUUUCCCUGUCUUUGCGUAUUAAGUGCCAAGAUCUCCCGAAUAUGUCAUCAUGCUAAGCAACAUGAUUUUCUUGUUCCCUUUUCCCUGGACAGGGUCUCACUGUGAACCCUGGCUGGCCUCAAACUCAGAUCUGCCAGCUUCUGCCCCUCAAGUUCUGGAAUUGAAGGCAAAUGCCAUGUCCUCAGACGUGAUUUCCCUGGCUUUUACUUCUGUUAGUUCCAAAAUCAAUGAUCUUGACCUUCACAGUGUUUCAGUCAUCUACUAUUAGAACAUUAAAUUCUGGUCGGAGAUGCAGCUCAGACAGUAUCACGCAGAAGGCGCUUUUCCAAGCAGAGAAAAAACGACACUGGCACAGAUCUAUAAUUCCAGCAUUUAGGAGGUGGAGGCAGGAGGAUCAGAAGUUCCAGGUCAGCUUCAGCUACAGAGGGAGUUCAAGGCCAGAUUGGACUGGAGACCUUGUCUUAAUAAAAAAAAAAAAAAAUGCCCUCAGGCCCAAGCAAAAAUCCCUAAUAUCACCAUUCAUUCUUAUUCAAACUAAGUCGGAACUCUGAAAUGCUUUGCUUAUGAUAUUUUUUGACUAUGUAGUUCUUAUUCUCUUUGGCUUUCUGAUUCCCUCACUUGUACUGUACUGCUCACCCGACUCCAUACCCUUUCCAAGACUACUGUGUUCUGAGUUUUCUGGUCUCUUCUAGACUUUACACCCUUCUUUUACAGGUCCAAAUAAUCAGAGUGUUACUUUAUACUCUCCUUUGCUAAGUACCCGAAAUGUCUGCUUGUAGCUUUUCAACUGCACAGCACUGAGAAAUAUCCAUAGGUGUAUAAUCAUUUGUAUAUGUCCUGAAGUUGGAUUUCUAGUUAUCCCCUCCUCAAAAUUAUAGCAGAGACUUUUAACACUUCUAAGUAUUGUGCCUACCAGCCCUUUGAAUAUUUACUUUUAAAAAAAUUCAAAACCUUCUACAUAGGGUAAUUAAGUAAUGAUGCAUUUAUACUAUGGAAUAUUACGUAGUCAUUGAACUGGCAGAGUUACUGAUGUCUUUGUGAAAGCUUAAAUUAAAAGCUCACAGUAAAAUCUUGUUCCACUGUUGAUUAUUUUAUUUAAAAUAAUAUGUGUAACUGGCUGGCAGGGAUGUACCUCAGUUACAGAGGGUAUGAGUGCACGCCUGAGGUACAAGGUUAAAUCCCAGCAACCUUUCCACGUGUCUAUGUCUGAACAGAAAGAAAGCUGCAGGCAAACACAAGACUACUAAGUGGAUUGUUCUGGGAGGAGGCAAAAUUAAAUGUAGUUUCAUGUUGUUUACCUCUACAUUGUAAUUUUUAAUUUAAUUUAUCUUUUUUUUUUUUUUUUUACAAUAGACACCUUGGUUCUGAUAGAAAGAAAUGAGGUUACCCAGUGUUGACUAUGAACACUGAGCUGGCUAUUACAAGGGCUCUGUUGCUGCUUCUCUACAACUGUGAUACACAUCUCCUGUAUCCCUUAAGAACUGAUGGAGUAGAUAGAGAAAUCCCAGGCAAUGACAGGACCUUAGGGGUGUCUGGGAAAGCCUCCCUAGCAUCUUUGGUUUCCUACACUUUUGAGGUCAGUCAUCUCUACCAUGUCUUCUUUGGAAGGGGCACAGCUGACAAGACUAUAAAACUGUGUCUCACUCUCCUGCUAUGAGUGGGCACUCAGUGCCACCUGGGACAGCUUGUUCCACUUCCUCUCUCACUUGAACUCAUCGAAGACUCCAACCAUUAAUGUUGUCCAACUCCCCAGAGUGCAUGACUGUGAACAAUAUUCACUUCUUUAAAAGUUAUGACUUGGCAAAUCAAAACAACCCUGAGAUUUCACCCCACACCAGUGAGAAUGGCUAAAAUCAAAAACUCAGGUGACAGCAAACGCUGGCGAGGAUGUGGAGGAAGAGGAACACUCCUCCAUUGUUGGUGGGAUUGCAGACUGGUACAACCAUUCUGGAAAUCAGUCUGGAGGUUCCUCAGAAAAUUGGACAUUGAACUAACUACCUGAGGACCCAGCUAUACCUCUCUUGGGCAUAUACCCAAAAGAUGCCCCAACAUAUAACAAAGACACCUGCUCCCCUAUGUUCAUAGCAGCCUUAUUUAUAAUAGCCAGAAGCUGGAAGAACCCAGAUGCCCUUCAACAGAGGAAUGGAUACAGAAAAUGUGGUACAUCUACACAAUGGAAUAUUACUCAGCUGUCAAAAACAAUGACUUUAUGAAAUUCAUAGGCAAAUGGAUGGAACUGGAAAAUAUCAUCCUGAGUGAGGUAACCCAAUCACAGAAAAACACACAUGGUAUGCACUCAUUGAUAAGUGGCUAUUAGCCCAAAUGCUUGAAUUGCCCUAGAUGCACAGAACACAUGAAACUCAAAAGGGAUGACCAAAAUGUGAAUGCUUCACUCCUUCUUUAAAAGGGGAACAAGAAUACCCUUGGCAGGGAAUAGAGAGGCAAAGAUUAAAACAGACACAGAAGGAACACCCAUUCAGAGCCUGCCCCACAUGUGGCCCAUACAUAUACAGCCAUCCAAUUAGACAAGAUGGAUGAAGCAAAGAAGUGCAGGCUGACAGGAACUGGAUGUAGAUUGCUCCUGAGAGACACAGCCAGAAUACAGCAAAUACAUAGGCAAAUGCCAGCAGCAAACCACUGAACUGAGAAUGGGACCCCCGUUGAAGGAAUCAGAGAAAGGACUGGAAGAGCUUGAAGGGGCUCGAGACCCCAUAUGAACAACAAUGGCAACCAACCAGAGCUUCCAGGGACUAAGCCACUACCUAAAGACUAUACAUGGACUGACCCUGGACUCUGACCUCAUAGGUAGCAAUGAAUAGCCUGGUUGUGUGCAUUUCCAUCAUGUGUGUCCUGGAGAUAAAGCUGAUACCUGAUGUUUGGCUUCAGGAGCACUUCUCAGCCCCAACAUCGGCCCUCACACCUCCAGAACAAGUGGACUGAAAAACCUCGUUUAACACCCACAGUUAUUCUUCUAAGCUAGCUUAAACUGAAACUUAAAGUACUGUUAGUGUGUUGUGGUUUGCCCUGAAGUUACUGUAUUUUGAUGCUAAUUCCACUGCCCCAAGGACAGCUGCCUAGUCAAGGAUUUAGAACUCAGGUGGCUUGACCAGAACCUUUUCCCCAUUGAAUUUGUAAAGUACUGGUGAGGGGCAGGUACAGGAUAGAAGGAGGCCUGUCACUGGAGGAGAAGGAAGGAUGGGUGGGAAAGAAGUUUGAAGGAAGAGGAGGAGACUAAGGGAGAGAGGGGCAGAGAAGCUGUGGCAGGACAAGAUGGCAGGUGAUGUUAAGAUUCUGCUCUGUGUAUUUACAGGUUGUUACUAAUGUUCUCAAGGGAUGGAUGGUACUGGGAUUUGUAUGUUUAAGUGGGCAAUUAUAGCUUACCAACUGGGUCAAAGAUUAUUGUGUUGUAUGUUCUUUUAUGUGAGGGUUUGAGUGUAGGAAAGUGUGCGGCUGGGAUGUGUUUCCACCAAGAUAUCUAGCAGAUAUCUUGGGGCACCCGAGGUGAGGACCUAUCGGGGUAAAAGACCAACAUUACCGUUUUAUUUUUAUAUUUUUACAACAACAUUAGUGGUUGCCGUUUAUUAGCAUUUGCAUCUCUAGUCUAGGUACGCACACUGGCCAGACAGCUUUCUGAAUGUUAAAGCACUUCUUAAAAGUUACAGGUUUGAAGACAGAUGUAUGGAAUGGCACAGGCCUUCAAUACCAGCAUCCUGAGGCAGAAGCAGGCAGAUCUCUCGUCAGUUUAAGGCUAAGCCUGGUCUACAUGAGUCCUGGGCCAGUAAGGGCUGCAUAAUGAGGCUUCCAUCUUAAAAAGUAAAAGGUCAGAAGGUCUAAACUAGGCAUAGUGUUUUGCUCUCAAGGAUAAAUGGUAGUCAGUUAUCCAAAUGCCAAAAUACAGUUGACCUUAGCCUUAUUUUGAGUAAUUCACUUCAAGAUCUCCUUUGGGUAGAUGCCUAAAUCCACCAUAUAUCAAACCACACACACCCAAUAACAGUAAGUCUAGUUUAUAAGUUAGGUACAGUAAGAGAUUAACUACAGUAGAAAAUGGCAAACUACUAAAACGAUACGCUGUAAUGUAAGAUUUCAUCGUGCCAUACAGGUUAAAAGCUAUGAAUUUGCUUUUUCUGGAUUUUCUAUUUACUAUUUUCAGAUUGGAGUUGACCAGGAGUAACAGAAACCAGGGAAAACCAGCCUGACAAAUGUCUGUGAAAAGUAAAGCAAGAACCCACCUUAAACUUGAUUAUUAGCUUCUUUGUUUCUGCAGAGGCCUCUCCCGCUUUCUUCUGUUCAUCAUCAGAAUCGCUGUGAGAAUCGGAUGAUUUGGAGUCUUCUAGGGUGUCAGGUAACUUUUCACUGUCCUUACUAGAAAGCACAUCACCACCAUGUGGAAUGAAAUCAUCAGGCUUUUCCCAUUUGGAUUCUGCUCAACACAUUUUAAUAACUGUAUUACUCAUUUAGCAAUACUUCUCAGCAAUACAACACUUUUUAUCAUCUACUAUUACUAAAUAAUGCAUUUUUAUAUUUAUAUUUUAUCAAGAAAGAGCUUAUUCUUUUAUUGUUCACAAAAUUUAGGACAGUCUGCACUUAACCAAACUCAUAAACUAACUCUAAAUAGAAAAGAACUUGGGAAAUGGGUAUAGUUUUAAAAAUCUUCAGUUUAUCUGAAAACAAUUUCAAGAAACAUAGUGACUCUGACUUUACAGUAUUAUUUCCAGGAACUUCUCACAGAGAUUGUCUGGAGUUCAAUCUGAAUAGGCUACUUUAACAGUAAAGGACUCUCAACUGGCUGAACUCCACCUCCAUCUAGUGUUCACUGUGCUUUUAAAGAAAUGAUGUUUCUUCUUCUCUCUACUUUUAGUUUAAUAUAAGGGAAAAAAAAUAUACAAUUUGUUCCCAAUCAAGACAAUUUUAAGAGUGAAGGAGACUAUGAGACAGAGGAGAGGAUUUCUGAGUCAAGUUCUGCCUGGUUUGCAUGAUUCAGAUCAGUCAGCUACAAAGUAAGACCCUGACUUAACAAUCAAUCAAGAAUAAAAGUGGCUACUAAUUACACUGAUCAGGAUUAAACCCCUCCCAAUCCCAGAGAACAUAGUUCUUUUUUCUGAAGGAUGACUAGAUGCUCAGUGACUUUGCUGAUAAGAAGCUGUGUGUUGCGUCAGACUAGAUUUAAUUCUAAAGGCCUAGCAUAUUAAUAGGCUGUAUGUGCUUUCUAAAGACCCAAUACUUUACUUCUCUGGUCCAGAAACACUGCUUUCACUAGGCAACACUCGUAUCUGAAGGUUUAAAAGGCCAUUUCUUCCUAAAAGAUGUAAUCCAGGGUGUGGGUAGUAAGCAUUUAAAACACAGAGUAAGGAAGACACCAAGCUUACAGCAGAAAGUGUGAAGACUGACAAGGACAUGCCCAGUGGUACGUGGCUCAGAAACUACCCAACUGGCAACCUUCCAUCAUUGUACAUUGUCAUAAAUGUCAACAACAUGGCUAAGUUUUAAUAUCCUCUGUGCUCCCUGACCCUAGUGCUUUCUCUUCUCCUGUCCUGUUGGAUAUGAACCUGAACAUAAGAUAUAUGCUGGGAGAAAAAAAAAGGCUAUUUAAAAUAAAAAUCCAGGUAUUAGGAAACAUUGAAGACUAGCUGGGUAUGGUGGCAUAGUCCUGUAACUGUGGCCCUUGAGAAGCAGCAGCGUCAAGACUUCAAGGCCCUACACAGCCACCAAUUGAGCUGGAGGCCAGGUAGAGAUGGUCUCAUAAGUCAGAAAAGUAACAGCAAGACUUAACUGAGAAACUCUGUGAUUUUCUAAGAAUUUAUUUAUUUUUUUGCUUUGUGUGAUAGGAGUUCCUCCGGACUCCAAUUUCCUAGUGAUAGGAUUAUAGGCAUGUUUGAUUACGCCUGUUUUUGUCUUGUGAGUAUAUGGUAUGUAUAUGCUUAUAGGUGUAUGUAUUAUGUGUGGAUGUGUUUGCCUAUGCAUUUGUAUGUAGAAGCCAGAGGACUACUUCUGGUAUCUUCCCUUAUCAUUCUCCACCUUACGUACGUACGUCCGUCCGUCCAUCCGUCCAUCCAUCCAUCCAUCCAUCCAUCCAUCCAUCCAUCCAUCCAUCCAUCCAUCCAUCCAUGUCUCUGUCUGUCUCUCUCUCUCUCUCGGUAGGGUUUUCCACUGAACCUAGACUGGCUAGCCAACAAGCCCUGGGGUUUGCCCAUCUCUGCUCACCCGGUGCUGGGGUUUCGAGUGCUUGCUUCCAUACCUCACCAUGGAAAUGCUGGGGAAUUUUAACUCAGGUCCUCAUAUUUGGAUGGGAAGCACUGUACCCAACAAAUUACGUUCCUAGCCCCCAUACCAUUUCUGUAACGCCACAAUUACAUGUUAGUGACAUCUCUAACACCAGUUUCAUUUUAUUUUUUUUAAAGAAGAAAAUGGUGAAGGCCGUGGUGUAGAUCAGUGAGAGUGAGUGCACAUGCUUGCAUGCUUUAGGUCUCAAGUCUGCUCCUCACCAUGACAAAGGCUGAGCUAGGUGAUAACUGUAGACACUCAGAAGGGAAAUUAUUAAAUCAAUCAAAAGACUCAGUGAUUUUUACAAUUGAAGACUUUAAAAUUUGAAAAUGCCUAAUUAUGAAUAACAUUAAUUGGACAUAGGAAACUGGCUCAGCAGUUAAUUCUGGCUGCUCUCAGAGGCCCUGGGUUCAACUCCAGCACCACAUGGUGUCUCGAGCCAACCAUAACUCCAGUUCCAGAAAGUCCAAUGCUUUCCUCUGGCUUCCUUGAGCACCAAGCUCACAUGUGGUGACCAUAAAUUCAUGUAGGCAAAAUAGCUAUACACAUUAAAAAAAAAAAAGGAACAACAUGGAUGCAUAGUACAACACAUUAUAUAAUAGAAAGGUUUUAAGUAUCCCUUAUAAAAGAUAAUAUAUACUUCCUAUAGAAAUUCUUAUCCAAGUUUUCAAGUUUAGCUGAUAUAUUAGCUCAUACACAGUUUUGGGUACAAUUUUAAGUUAAAAUAAUCUAAGACAACACUCACCUCCUGUUUCUGUAUUAUAGUAAUAGGUGUAGCCAUCUUCACUUAAACCUUCUACCCAAAUGGCCUUCGCUGCUGUCUAAUAGGAAGGAAAAAACAAUGCACUGAAAACAAUGACAGUGGCUCCCUACUGAAUAACUAAGGCAAAUGUGGCUGUCCUUUCUUCUCUGCCUGGCCUCUGGGAGUCAGAAGAGGUGAGAAAGAUCAGGGCAACAGUCUGGUUUCUGUUAGUCACCAUCAACUUCCAAACAGACUGUCCCACCUCUCAAAGCCAGGAACUCUGGCCAGUUGGGAAGACAUGUGAACAAUAGAUGACUGCCAAACAAUGGAUAAUAUUUAUCCUCAAUAGGGUUAGGGUGUGUGUGUGUGUGUGUGUGUGUGUGUGUGUGUGUGUGUGUGUGUGUGUGUGUGUGUGUGUGUGUAGGUGUGUAUGCGCGCUUGGGCGUGUGUGUUUGUGUGUGUGCGUGCCCGCACGUGUAGCUAUCCCUGUUCCGUCUCUACUCAGCACACUAACGGCAGUAUUAUAGAAAGAAGCCAGGUUGGAGCUGGAGAGAAACUGCUUAUUUGGAAAUAAAUUUGCUUAACAAAAUUCUACAAAAAGCCACAGCAACUAGUCUAGAAAUUUGUUUAACUUAUGGUAGAGCGCUGGCAAAACUCACCCACCCCCAGAAGCCAAUCACUUGAAAGAAUAAAGCAAAGACAUAAUGCUACAGUUACCUUUUUUAAGUUCCCUUGAAAUCCUUCUGGCUUUUCCCACUGAGAUGCUUAAAACAAAAUACAUUAUAAAAUUAUUAUGCUCUUAAAUAAAACAAGUCACCAAAAUUUAAUUAGGUAAAACCCACAGGCAAGUCAUAUACAAAACACUACAAAAUAGUUUAUUGAGAUUAGGGAGUUUAUAUUUGGUAGUUUAUUAAUUUAUUUGUACUAUCUUUAUGUGAUCUUUAAUUUUUCUGUAAGAAGUCUUGCCUACCGUGGUAGUUUAAAUGAGAAUGGCCCCCAGAGGCUCAAAAAUUGAAGACUUGGGUCCCCAGCUGGUGGAAUUAUAUGGGAAGCAUUAGAAGUGUGGCCUUGUUGGAGGAAGUGUGUUGCUGGGGACGGACUUUGAGAUUUCAAAAGCCUACAGCAUUUCCAGUUUGCUUGCUUUCUGCCUCCCGACUGUGGAUGAGAUGUAAGCUCUCAGAUACUGCUCCAGCACCAUGCCUGCCUGUGGCCAUGCUGCUGCUACACAUGCUUUCUCCACGAUGGUUAUGGGCUUUGCACCUUCUGGGUCCAUGGGCCCCAUUUAAACGCUUUCUUUGAUAAGUGGCCUUAACUUCAGACAGACCUCUGUGAAUCUCAGGCCACCAGGUUUACACAGUGAGACCCUGUCUUUUGAGGCCUUUUCUUUCCUCCUCCUUCACGUAUUCAGUAUUAAGGACCAGUUAGUUCUUUAUGUCUCACUUCUCCUGUGUGGAAAUGGGUCAAUUUAGUAGCUUUUAGAGGAAAGGGAUGGCAUUCUGUUUUCUUGGGUGAAGAGAGAGAGAGAUGAAGAAUGAAGAAAUCACAAAGGAGUUAAGUAGGACCAGGUGAGGAAAGGAGGCACAUGACGAGAGAGAACAAGAGCUGCAAAGUGAGUCUGAAAAACAAAACAAAAAUAAGCUGCUCCUCCCAAGUGUCUACUUCUGGUUGACUUACUGUUCACUACAACGUGCAUUUCAUUUAAGACCCAAUGCAAAUAAACUGUUAGAAAUUAUUACUACUGGGGUUAGGAAGAUGGCUCAGAGGCUGAGACACUAGAGUCUCUUCUAGGGCAUUGCAUUUAUGUUUGGUGUAUUUGUAUUGCGACUGGAGGACAACUUGUGGGAGACAGUUUUCUCCUACCUUGUGGGUUCUGGGGACUGAAGUCAGGUUGUCAGGCAAGGAGGUAGGUACUUUUCCCACUGAGUCAUUUCAUCAGCCCAAACAGAAAAAUUUAAGUAGUCAAUCAAGACAGCUAUACAAAACAGAAAUCAGCUUCUGGCUUCCAAAGGCUUCUAGUUAGUUAGAAAACCUUUUCUGAUUUUAUUUCAAGACCCUUAUUGGUUAUGACACAGAUAUGAAUAGUUUACCUUGAGGUAAAGUGUUGUAUUUCUGUAUAGUUUCAACUUUUUUAUUGAGAAAACAGAAAGUGUAUUUGUAAGUACUGUGUAAGGUUAGUCACAACACUGAUUCUCAAUAAGCGGGACACUCCUCAUUUUUUUUUUUUUUCCUUCUCUUUGAGACAGGGUCUUACCCUGUACUCCAGGCUGGCCUAGAUCAUCUCACUAUGCACUCUUGGCCAGUCUCUUGCCUCAUUUCAAUCCUUCUGUCUUAGCUUUCUGAAUGCUGAAAUUAUAGAGUGUGCAUCACCAUAACACACACAUACACAUACACACACACACACAAUUCUAAGCUUUGUGGUAAAAAUGAAGUUACAGUUUCUCACUGCUUAACAUAUUCUAUAUUAAAUAAAAAAAGUCGCAUUUUUUAUUUCCCUGUAGCCUGCUUCACUAGCAUACCUCCUGUGACGAGAUCAUAAUAGUAACAGUGGCCGUCGGCUGUUACGCCUUCCACCCAUCUACCCUUAGAAGCCUCUUUCUUUUUCUUCUUCUUUUUCUUCUCUUUCUGUUGAUUUGCUGUAGGGGUGGGCUGGACAGUGUUGGUGACUGGUGAUAUAGUUGGCUCUGAAAUGUCUAGGAAAAAAGAUAAAGACAGGUAACUUUACCUUUGAAAACGGUCUAUCACUCAGAAACCUGGCAAAGCCAGCCAUACCUGUAAUUCCAGCUCUCAGGAGGCUGAGGAUAGACAACUAUGUGUUUGAGGCUGGCCUAGAAAAACAUUUUAAAAUAUAACAAAACAAAUCAAAUGGGCUGGAGAGAUGGCUCAGAGAUUAAGGCCACUGGCUGCUGUUUCAAAGGACCUGAGUUCAAUUCCCAGCAAGCACAUGGGAUCUGUGAUGGGAUCUGAUGCCCUCUUCUGGUGUGUCUGAAGACAGCUACAGUGUACUCACAAAUGACAAGUAAACAAUGCUUUAAAAAACGAAACAAAAAAUUGUGACAAGAUUCUCUUUGGGAACAAAACAUAUUAUCAUGAUGUUAUCUAAGAUGCAAUCAUGCAAGAAUAAAUAAGGGGAGUUUAAUAAGGGUUAUUUACUUCUACCAAACACUAAAAGGGUCUGGGGAGUGUGUGCGGCCCAGUGGUAGUACACCUACCAAGAGUGCCCAAGGCUGUAGGUUUAAUCUCAGCAUACUAAGAAGAAAACAAAGAACAAGACGAAUUAACCCACAACCUACUCUAAAAUUCAUCUAAAACAAAACCAUGUCUGGUAUAUAACUUAGCAGUAGGGUGCUUGCCUAACAUGCACAGGCCCUGGGAUAGACCUCCAGUCCUGAGGGAGGAGGAAGCCAGCAGUGAAGAAUUGAUGUGGAAAUAAGCAAACAUAUAACCUAAAGAGAACAGGCCAGACACAGAGUCAACUGACCUCCUGGUGCUUUUUUUCCUGGAAGGCUUAUGUACUUAGGCAUUAGGAAACUGAGAGUGAUUGUGUAUGCCUCCCAGUACGUGGGCUGCACAGGUAGGAGGCUCAGGACUUUAAGACCAUCUUCAGUGGCCAAGGGUUCUUGGCCAGCCUGGGCUACAUGAAAUCCUGUUUAAGACGGAUAUCCUGCCUACACCAACAAAGGCCAAUGCUGAUGACAACAGGAAUGGGGUGCUAGAAUGCUGGGACAUGUCAACAACAAACUACAAAGGCAAAACUAUUCAGCCAGUUCCCAAUGGUGUCUCAUUUCUUCACAAUAUAAAUUUCAGGUCAAGUUAGGCAUGACGGAGCUCUAUGAGUGUACAUAGUGAGCUCCAGGACAGCCAGGAGCAUCAAAAUGGAAUCAAUCAAUCUUUCUUUUUUCUUUCUUUCUUCCUCCCUCCUUCAUCUAUCUAUGAGUGAAUUAAUGACAUGCGUUUUCAACAAUACUUCUCCAAUUCUCCAGAAACACAGCUAUCUAAGUUUUUCUCUGAAAACACUUGCUCUUCAGUUGAGGGCAGUGAUCCAGGUCUGUAAUCCCAGAACCCAGGAAUGUGUCUGACAUCACAUAGUGAGUUUGCAGCAAGUUGAACUCUCAAUCAUUAUUAAAUAAAUGGCUUCUUGAAACAUAUGCCCCUUCUUUUCCUUAAAUACUAACAUUAGAAUGCAUUAAGCUGACAAUUGUUCUUAUUUAAGGAAAGCAAUAUUCUGCUUAAACCCAUAAUUAAGAGUUCUUUUUAUUAGAAACUAAAGAGCAUCAUUUCAUGCUGAAAUAUAUGGUUCAGAUUGAGGAGGAAGGCCCCACCCUACUGGCCUGUUGUACCACAAGGUGCUACUCACAUAGCCAACAGUUCCACUACUACAGUCCUCCUCAGCAGCAGAAGACACCGUCUUAAUAGCCAUGGCUAUUCACGGAGAGUGGUGACUGGUUAAAUCACUGAGAAUAAGUGUGACAACCCAAUGCUCAUUAAGGGAUUUUCCAUAUCUCUCCUCUUCCAAAGCUCAGUAAACCUCCAUCAGGAGGAAGAGGUGGAAAGACUGCAGGAACCAGGAGAUAGAGAUGCCGUUGUAAUGUGACUGCUCCCUCUGGGUAUAACAUGACUAUCCUACCACUAUCUUGGAGUAGUGGUAGAACUCCCCAAUCCAGUCAUGGCAAUGAAAUAAUCGAGCAGCGUGAUACAGUGAUGGUCAACAUUACACGGAGGGUAAUGGAACUGCUGACGUUUCCUAGGAGGAGGGGACUCAGGGGACCUGUUCCUCCUCACUUGGGAUGCUAGCUACUAUUCCAUGGAGUUCCAGCUGCUCCCAACAGGUGAUCUUGGGACAUGCUCAAAUGAAAGGGGACGGUUAACUGAAAAGAGACUCCCUGGUGCAGGGUCUCUAAGGCAGCGACCUAUGAUGGGAUGUGCUUCUGUGGCGAUGCAAGUGUUUGGGGUCCACCAUGCUCCUGUGACUGACUUCUCAUUCAUGUUGUCUAGGUAAGCCCACUAAGGUUACUGGUUCUCAAAAGCAAACACCAAAACCAUCUGGCCACCUUACCCACUCCACAGGAUCUACAAUCAAGAUCCACUCUGUGCCUUAGGGACACGGUGCCCAGCUUGUUGAAGGCUUUAGGUGGGGCCUGGCUGGUAGAGGGACAUCAAUGGGGUGGUCCUUCUAAGUUUUUGUCUACCUUCUGGCUCUGGGCUCCUCUCUCUGCAUCUGGUCUGUAUUGUGUGCACAGUCCAUUUGGAGCAUCCAGAACUGUGCAGUAGUGAUGGGUUGAGGCCUCUGAGCCUGAGACCCACGGCUGACAGUCUAUCUUAUAGGAGGUUUUGUCAGGCAUUUUGUCAUGAGAAAAGUAACUAACAUAAUUUGUCAUGGAAGAAAGCUCAUAAAAAAUUCCUGCUCUAGGGCCUAAACUCAACAACAGAGAUGCUCACAAACACCCCUUACUCAAACCCUCAAUAAGCUGCCCGCUUGAGGUAAAGUCAAUUAUCUGUCUACAAAAGCAACUGCUUCGUUAUGUAGCCAAGCAUGUAAGCAGCUACAACUUAGGUUCGGCCAUUUUGAAAAUAUAAUUAAAAUGCAAGUUUGUUUGUUUGUUUUGAUUUUUAAUGACUAGUGCCUGUAACUUACUGAGUGUCUGAGAAAGAAACCCCAAGGUUUGAGAAAUGAAUCAUUCAGCUAGGAUGUAACUAGGACUAGGUAACUAAAGGUAAUGUGGUUGAUCUGAAUAAAAGUGUCAGAAAAUGAAGCAUUAAAAGCAAAUCAAGAGGCUAGCAAGAUGGUUCAGUGCAUAAAGGUGCUUGCCACUGAGCUUCAUGACAUGAGUUUGAUUCUUGGAACCCACAUGGUGCAAAGAGAGAACUGACUCUUCUGGGCUGUUCUCUGCACUCCACAUACUCAUCAACGAAAACAUACAGAGAAAUAAACAAAGAGUGAAUGUAAAAAGUAAAACAAGCCAGCAUGGUGACUCGUGCUUGUAAUUUUUAAAUUCAGUACUCAGAAGGCCUAGGUAGAAGGCUCAUGAGUUCAACACAACCCCAGAAUAUGCUAGAUUUCAUCUCAACAACAAAACCACUACAGUACCUGCACCAGCACAAGCACAAAAGUACUUCAGGGUCCACCCUUAAUAGGAGUGUGGUACCUCAUGAAAGCACUGGCCUGACUACUGCAAGUGCAGAACUCCUGUGUGGAAACCAAGGUGUGCGUGCUAAUGUACCUGACUGCAAGCCAAGCCUUUUCAGAUCCUCUUGGUAUGCCUUCAGGGCAGCCGCCUCCAUGGCAGCAAACUCCUUGGAUGCCUUUUCUUCUUCCUUUGCCUUAUCCAGGCUUUUCUGUUUAAUCUGUGUAAGACACAGGUGAAGGCAAGAGUGAGAGAAGAGACCACCAUUGCCUGGAAAGAGAAGAAAGCGCCAGGGGUACCUCGCUGAUCUUCCUGGCCACAUUUUCCUUGUGGUUCUUUCCUCUUUCAUGAAAUUCAACACUCUGGAAAAGGAGAAAGGGAAAUAAUUAUUAAAUUCACAGUAAACUAACAGUGUACCCACAGGGCUGAAAUAUAAAAUGGUCAUGGCAGAAAACAGAAAUGACCAGUUUAAUGCAAACUGACCUCGUGUCAAAUGAUGCUAGUGGUGAAGCAGAUUACUGCGCUCUCCCACCAGGCGUUCUCUGGUUCUUAGGAUGAGCCAGGACAACCACGCCAGUGGGAGGACACACACAGUCCUCUCCUGACUGGCCCAGUGAAUAUGGGUAUAAGAAGGGCUUGAGACAUGAAGCCUUGCAAAAAGAAAGACGUCGCAGUUGGGCAGUGGCAUACACCUGUAAGCCUAGCACUGGGAAGACCAUUCAAGUUCCAAGCCAGUUGAAGCUAUGUGCUCAUGGGAUAGCUCGUCUUGAAACAAAAAGAUAAUAACGAAAAAACCCUAUUUGCCCAAACCAGAACAAUCACCAAACAAAUAAAAGCCACAGCAACAGCAACAGCAAAAAAACACCACCCACUACCUUUCAACAUCAAAUGUCAAAACUGGCAAAGCCUCUAAAACUUCAUUGUUCUGUUUUUCUGUCUAAGAGAAAUAAAAAAUUAUCCUUAAAGAUUUGGUCUUAGCUGGGCAGUGGUGGGGCUCUCUUUUAAUCUUUUAAGUACUCUGGAAGCAGAAGCAGGUAGAUCUCUGAGUUGGAGGCCAGCCUAAUCUACAGAGGUAGUUCCAGGAUAGCCAGGGCUACACACAGAAACCCUGUUUCAAAGAGCCAAAGUAGGUAAAAGACUUGGUUUUUAAAACAUUAAGAAAGAUACCUAAAAACUUCCUUGUUUGGGCAGGUAAAAUGGCUUAGUGGGUAAAGGUGCUUGCCACCAAACCUGACCACCAGAUUCAACCCCCAUGACCCACAUGAUCAAAGAACAGACUCCUGAAGUUGUCCACUGCCAUUCCCAUCAUUCCCAUACCAGGGAACACCCAUACCAACACACACACACACACACACACACACACACACACACACACACACCGUACAAUAAAUUUAAAAAAUUCCUCACAUUGUGCAAAGUGAUAUAAUAAAACAAAGUUACUCUUCGCAGUAUUGUCUGUAGCGAAAACUUUGAAGUCUACCUACUGGGGACUGGCUAAGUGAACUGCGCACACUCCCACAGACCUUUACUGAACGGAAAGGAGCACAGUCUACGUACUGACAUGAGAGACACCUUCAGGAGAUACUGUUCAGUUAUAAGACCCUGCUACCUUGUAAACAAGAUGGAAUAAAAUACACGUACACAGAAGUAAUGAAAGGGCAACAUGGAAAAGGGGGAGGUGACUUCUGAAGAGGAGCAUUAAUUAGAUGGCUGGGGACAGGGAUGGCUGACUGAGCACUGGACCUACUUAAAUAACCAGAAAUUCUCACAAAUUACAGAUGGUGGUAAGAAAUAAGAAAUCCCCUAAAAGUCUGGCCGGUUGAGUCCUGUAUAAUGCAUUAAUCAAGCUAUUCUAAUAUACUCCUCAGAGUACCUCUUUAAAACUUGAGUUCAUAAGGCAAACAGUCAUCUCUAUUGUUCCUAUACUGGGUUACUUACAGUUGAUUAUACCGUACAAAGAAUACUGUAUUAAAGCACCACUCAAAAUUAAAUACUGUUUUUCAUUAAUAGCUAAAUCACUAGAUAUAUGGGGAGACACACACAGACCUCUGGAAAGGUAAUUUAUUUUUAUAACUUAUUAAAAUUAUUUUACUGUGUAGGUACCUCCAGGGAAGGAUACUUGUUUCGAUCUAUGUAGUUUUAAAAUCUCAUGGCAGUUUUGGUAAGGAUUAACCUAAGCUAAAUAAAAUAUGCACAAUGUUCAGCAACUACUAGCAAAGCCAAGGGAAGAGCUACACUCCUCUCAGAGCCAAAGAUGAUUUAACAGUGUUCAAUGACGGAAUGCAGCAUAAACCGUGGCAUCAUUCCGUGGUGUACAACAGUUCUGCCAAGUAGUAAGGUUAUGCAUAAGGCAAGAUACUGUACGGCUGUUCAUUUUAUUUUAUUUUAUUUUUUUUCAAGACAGGCUUUCUGUGUAGACCUGGCUGUCCUUGAACUCACUCUGUACAACAGGUGGCCCUUGAGCUCAGAGAUCUGCUUGGACCGGCCUCCCAAUGCUGGGAUUAGAGGUGGGAGCAGCGUCUGCCCUUGCUGACCCUGUAGGUUUCUAAAACUUACCUUGUGGGUCUAUGCUCCUGUAAGUGCAUAUGCACCACAUGGGGACAGUGGCUAACGGAGGUCACAGGAGGCUGUCAGAUACCCUGAAACUGGAGUUACAGGGAGUUUUGAGCUUCCACGUGGGUCCUGGGAACUAGCCUCCAACCCUUGGCAAGAGUUGGAGUUGUUCUUUACUGCGGGGCCAUCUCUCCAGUCCCCACAGUUUCUGAUACAGUAGUUUGUCUUAAUAGGCAUGUCUGAAAGGGAAAAAAGCCAGCUGACUCUUAUGCCCCAAAAGUUGGAUCCAGGAAUCAGGUGGUGGUGCACACCUUUAUUCCCAACAGUUGGAAAGCAGAGGCACAAGGAUCUCUGUGAGUUUGAGCCUAGCCUGGUCUAGAGUAAGUUGCUGUCUGAAAACAGUCUUGGAAAAACAAACAAACAAAAAAACCCCCCA